GGCGACCGAGACGAGAAGGCUGUGCUGGCCGCGAGUUGUGGGGUUUGGGUCACCGGCUGGGGUCUGGAGUCCCCGGAGGUUAGGGCUUCGACCCGCGCGACACCUGGGGCCUUAGGUCUGAGCGGGAGCAGUGAGGUUCUGGCCCCGCUUCAUCCGCGACGGCAUUUUAGGCCUGCCUCUCUUGCUCCUGUUUCCCGGAGCAGUGCAUAGAGAGAUCAUAGACAUGUAUAAUUCGAACCCUACGUGAAUCUGCUCAUUCUAAACUCGCCCAACCCUCGUCGUUCUUAGCCUGUGAACCUGCACUAUUCUUGUCCCAGCAGCCAAUCUGCCAAGAAAAAAAGAAAUCCACUAAUCUACAGAGUGAAGCACAGAUGAGGAUGGACAACGAACACCCUGCCUGCAGUCCACAUAUUCCCGAGGACCAGGAGCCCUUUCAUGGAAUGUGCAAGAACCCCGUUGGUGCUCUGCAGAUGAGAAAAAUAGCUACUGAGAUCCUUGUUCACUUACUGAAGCUGGAAGGCCUCGUGGUCUGGAGAAAUGCCAACUUUUGCAGUGGUUCAUCUGAGAACAGUGGAUGCUGGUCUUUCUCUGGGUAAUCCUUGGGCAAGAAUACUCUCUCCCCAGUUGGCCUGGGUUGCCAGGGAAGAGAGUAUUCAUCUGAGAAACUGCUUUGAGAGUAUCAUUAAUAUCAUCAUUUUACAGACAAGGAAACAGAACCUUAGAAAUGGUAAGUUGAUCAGUGUCAUAAGAGGUAACCUGACCUGACCAUAAGACCUGACCUUAAGAGGUCAGGUCUUCUACUUCACCUAAGUGAAGCCAGGCUUCCCAAGGCACAGCUCAGCACCUGGGGAGCCACACUGCAAUGAGUUACAGCACCAUCCACUUACUGCCUAGAACCACCGUUUUGUUCCAAAAACAUAGGUCUGGGUUACCCAGUCCACACUCCAUCUUCCUGUUGGUGAUUUUCUUUCAUUUCUUCCCACCACCUGGCCCCAGGUGGGUACAGUCUUGUCCAUCAGAUGUGUUCUAAUAAAUAGUUAAAUACCAAGCCCUCUUCUUCCAGAAGCAUCCUUGGUUCCUUCUACAUAUGUGUGUAGAUUCAUAUAUGUAAAAAAAGUAUGAAAAAGGAUCUUUCAUCAGUUUACUUAUCAGCUUCUUCUAAACCCAUGCUCUUUCCAAGCUGCAUAUCCAAUUUAAAUAAGUCCCUAUUCCAAAACCAGUGAGUAGGAAUGAAAUUACUUUACCCAGAUGUAACUCAAAGGAAUCACUGAGUGAUUAUUUCCAGAACAAUGGGAUGACUUGCUCCAAAGGUAAGUUCAAGUUUUCAUCAUGAACAUGAAACACCCAGGUUUUCUUAGUUUCAACCAGUUUUAGGAUUCAAUCUCCGCUAGUCAAGUCAUUAUAUGUAAAUGCCGUUGAUAUGAAUGUCCAUCUCACAGGGUUGUUGAGAAUAAUACAUGAGAUAAGAUGUAGAUAGAUCAAUUUGUAAUAUUUUAUUACUGACACUGUUACUAAUUAGUUAAGCUAAUCAGCAUCUCAUUAGAAUUGCCCCUUUGGGCAGUGAACAUCCCUCUUCCUGUUCCUCCUGCGCCCUUCCUGUAGUCAGUGUGGUGGCCCUGACCUCUGGUCAGUACAAUCCAGUGGAUUCUAGAUUCUCAACCACAUCACCACUAAGAUUAUGGUCAUGUUAGCCAGGGUGAUGGGGCCUCUGCAUUGAAAUGCAGGGCUGUGGGAUCAGUGAUACUUGCUGUCUUGCUGUCUCCUGCUUUGGUUGUGAGAGAAAUUCAAGAAAGCAGCUCUUGCUCAGGUAGACUUUGGGUUAGUUCCUGAGCUUUGGUUUUCCUCUGGAUUGGCCUAAAGGUCUUCAGGGGUUGAGGAGAAUACUGGAGAAGGUCUGUUAUCAUCCAUGUUCUCCAACAGAGUAAAGCCAAAACAUUAAGUACUGGAGUUAUUCGGUACUUGCCUUCCCUAAGGGAAGUGUGGUACUUACUGUGUCUUGAUUCUCAUGGAGCUCCUUGCCUCUGCCCUCUGUUAGUUAGGAAUCUGGAAGGGAGGAGGGUUGUACUUAGCAUUUCUAAAUAGACAAUAGUUCUCCUGAUUGAAAGGCUAAAACAUUU